AGAGUUUGAUCCUGGCUCAGGACGAACGCUGGCGGCGUGCUUAACACAUGCAAGUCGAACGCUGAAGCCUAGCUUGCUGGGUGGAUGAGUGGCGAACGGGUGAGUAACACGUGAGUAACCUGCCCUCUUCUUUGGGAUAACGCCCGGAAACGGGUGCUAAUACUGGAUAUUCACUGAUCUUCGCAUGGGGGUUGGUGGAAAGGUUUUUUCUGGUGGGGGAUGGGCUCGCGGCCUAUCAGCUUGUUGGUGGGGUGAUGGCCUACCAAGGCUUUGACGGGUAGCCGGCCUGAGAGGGUGACCGGUCACAUUGGGACUGAGAUACGGCCCAGACUCCUACGGGAGGCAGCAGUGGGGAAUAUUGCACAAUGGGCGAAAGCCUGAUGCAGCGACGCCGCGUGAGGGAUGGAGGCCUUCGGGUUGUAAACCUCUUUCGCUCAUGGUCAAGCCGCAACGUGUGGUUGUGGUGAGGGUAGUGGGUAAAGAAGCGCCGGCUAACUACGUGCCAGCAGCCGCGGUAAUACGUAGGGCGCGAGCGUUGUCCGGAAUUAUUGGGCGUAAAGGGCUUGUAGGCGGUUGGUCGCGUCUGCCGUGAAAUCCUCUGGCUUAACUGGGGGCGUGCGGUGGGUACGGGCUGACUUGAGUGCGGUAGGGGAGACUGGAACUCCUGGUGUAGCGGUGGAAUGCGCAGAUAUCAGGAAGAACACCGGUGGCGAAGGCGGGUCUCUGGGCCGUUACUGACGCUGAGGAGCGAAAGCGUGGGGAGCGAACAGGAUUAGAUACCCUGGUAGUCCACGCUGUAAACGUUGGGCACUAGGUGUGGGGGCCACCCGUGGUUUCUGCGCCGUAGCUAACGCUUUAAGUGCCCCGCCUGGGGAGUACGGCCGCAAGGCUAAAACUCAAAGGAAUUGACGGGGGCCCGCACAAGCAGCGGAGCAUGUGGUUUAAUUCGAAGCAACGCGAAGAACCUUA
rnacentral:rRNA from 1 species